AAAGUCGUAACAAGGUUUCCGUAGGUGAACCUGCGGAAGGAUCAUUACCUGGCCUAGGCCGCUGCUUGUCGGCGUGCCGCUCGUGCCUAUUACCUUGACUAUGCGCACCUUUUGUUGUUCCCUCGGCAGUCCGCUGUCGCCAGGGACCCCUUAAACCCUCAUGCAGUACAGUACACUUCUGAAAACCAACCUAAUUAUUUACAACUUUCAACAAUGGAUCUCUUGGUUCUG
rnacentral:misc_RNA from 1 species